rnacentral:rRNA from 1 species
GGCAUGCAAGUCGAGCGAGAAAAUCUCCUUUUAGGAGGUGAGUAAAGCGGCGGAAGGGUGAGUAAGGCAUGGAUAACCUACCCCCAAGACGGGGAUACCACCCUGAAAGGGGUGUUAAUACCCGAUAAGACCACAGACCUUCGGGUCAGGGGUUAAAGAUAGCCUCUGGCGAAAGUCACGCCUUCACUUGGGGAGGGGUUCAUGUGCUAUUAGCUAGUUGGUGGGGUAACGGCCCACCAAGGCUUUGAUGGCUAGCCGACCUGAGAGGGUGACCGGCCACACUGGGACUGAGACACUGCCCAGACUCCUACGGGAGGCUGCAGUCGAGGAUCUUCCGCAAUGCGCGAAAGCGUGACGGAGCGACGCCGCGUGGGCGAUGAAGGCCUUCGGGUUGUAAAGCCCUGACACGUGGUAAGAAUGGCGGUGAGUUAACAGCUUGGCCGCUUGACGCUACCACGAGAGGAAGCCCCGGCUAAUUCCGUGCCAGCAGCCGCGGUAAUACGGAAGGGGCCAGCGUUGCUCGGAAUCACUGGGCUUAAAGCGCAUGUAGGCGGGGACGUAAGUCAGGAGUGAAAACCCCCGGCUUAACCGGGGGAGGUCUUUUGAAACUGCGUCUCUUGAGUGCGGGAGGGGAGAGUGGAAUUCCCGGUGGAGCGGUGAAAUGCGUAGAUAUCGGGAGGAACGCCGGUGGCGAAAGCGACUCUCUGGCCCGUUACUGACGCUGAGGUGCGAAAGCUAGGGGAGCAAACGGGAUUAGAUACCCCGGUAGUCCUAGCCCUAA